AAUAAAUGAAUGACAAGGCACUUUUUAAACAAUCAAGAAUGUAAAACAUAUAGUAAUUUGUAAAAUGAUAAACUUUUAAUCUAAAGAGCACUCAUAGAUGCCUUCCCCAUAAACAAAACCCUGCUGCAUUUAUGCACAUGUCCCAAGUCAAGAGCCUCUGGCCUUUUUUGUUCUUAUAUGGGUUUUUUUAAAUUUCAGUUAAUUCUUAUGUUUCACAGUUUAGUGUGACCUCCAUUUUCACUGAAAUAGUCUAUAUUUUUUGUUUAGAAGCCAGCUGUGUUGUAGGUAUACCAUAUGGAAGCUUAUUUUUAGAUGACAUUACCCUUCUCAUCAAACACCCAAAUAUGUUAUGAAAUGAUAGUUGACUAGAAUAACACAGAUGAAUAUCAUAUAGUAAUUAUUAGUAAUUCUUUUUUAUGUGGGAGGAGUUCCUCAAAUAACAAUUAUAUAAUAAAA
rnacentral:lncRNA from 1 species